rnacentral:lncRNA from 1 species
CAAUUACCAAACGAAUCGAAGCAGUGCAGACAAGGAGAAGCAAGACGCGCCGCUGCCGGUCAUUCUCCACCUUUCCUAGCUCGAUUUUCGAAGCUGGUCGUCCGCUACAGACUCGAACUCUUGGAUGGACCUCUUGUAGCUACUGGCUGUGACUUUGUGAAUUGUGGUGAGCACCUUUUUCCUUCUAUCGUUCUCGUUCUCGUUUUUUGUUUUUUGUUUUUUUAAUUUUCGUUCUAUGACAAAGAAAUGAGAAUUGUGAAUUUGUGAUUUAUAAUAAAUAAUUUAUGUUGUAUGAGUUAUGAGUUAUAAUUUAUCAUUUAAAAGUUUUGAUUUUGAUUUGGAAAUUUAGGUUUAGGAAAUUAGGAGUAUGUGAAAAAAAUUAAUGGAGAAGAUGAUGGGCUCAAUUGAACCAUGUGUAUUAAACUUUAUUUUUAUAUGUAAAAAAUAUUCGUGUUAGUGCAUUUACAUAUUUGUUGAAGAAUUUUUAAUAUUAUUUAUGAAAUAUUAAUAAACGACAUAGUUACUACGAUCGUUGAUUGUUUCCGGUCAACGGUCAACCACCCUAGCUGACCUCCGAUCUUGAAUUCGCCAGUUAAAAAAAAAAAAGAAGCUUUUUUACAUGAAGGCUUAAGUACCUUUUAGAGGUUUGGUGCUAACAACUAGUUAGCAUGAAAGAAUGGAUUAAUAAAUUUCUCCAUUUCACUCAGUUACUCAGUUAGUACCCUUCAUUGGUGGUUGGAAAGUGAUCUUUGUGUUAGUUGGGGUAGAAUUUGAAAGGCUGGUCAGGUUCUACCCUUCCAAACAAACAAGGUCGAUUAGGUGACUGAGGGCCUUUAUUGAGAGUCGUGACAAUGAAAAGAUGUUGCAACAAUUAAAUGAAUCCCAAGAUCAGCUAUGAGCUUGUAUGACCAAAUCACUUUACUCGUGGCUAUAGACAUUGCCCAGUAUAUACUAUGUCUCUGCACUGAACUUGAGUUAUAAUUGAAGUGUUCAAUCUACUUAAUUUACAUCUUCCAGUAAAUUUAGUCAAUCGAUUGUAAUAAAAUAAUAAUAAUAAUAAUGUGCAUAUCCAUUUUAAUAUUGUAUUAAGAAACAAAGUACAUAAUAUGCUAUCUUAGGCAUUCUGCAAACUGUUUAGAGUAAAAGAUUAUGCAAUUUUUGUUUUUAUUUUCAGUUAAGUAUCGCUUGCAUUUAUAUUGAUUAUACACUUUGUUUCAUUUUCAAUCUAAAUUAUACACAUUCUUUGAACAAGUGGCAAUCAAAGGGAUCUACUUGUUAUUUGACUAUAUGUGUUACGCCUCACUACUAAGGCUCCACGUGAACGAUCCACUGAACCUCUUGCGAUGAAGCCACGUUGAACAUUGGAGUUUGGAGUCUGUAGAUCUGAAGCGUCGAAGCAGUCCCAUGCUAAAGCAAAGCCCCGAAGCUAUAUGCUACAUUCGAGGCUCAAGCGCAUCUACCUAGUGAAGUGAUGGAGCUCAACAAAAGUUAAAAUUGAAACUCAACCACAGUAAGUGACAACCUACACGUGAAGAUCUUGAAUUUAUGAAUGAGAUCUCUUUCGAAAGAUUGAUGGAACAUUUCUAAUGAGUGGAAUGUCAAGUUUUUUCAAUUUAAGUUGAAGGUGGCUUAUCCCUGCAAGAGCAUUAAAUGCGCCAUAGGCUAUCGAGUUCAAAUGAAUGUCUAGAAUUAGUGCUUCGAUUAAGGAGAUGAGCCCACGUGUAUCUUCAUCCAAUGGACACUAUUUAAUAUGUAGCAUUAUAAAUACCCCUCCUUGUAUCAUUUGAAGACUAAUGCAACUCUAAGAUACUUAAAGUGAUUAUUUAUCUUC